rnacentral:tRNA from 2 species
GAGAGAGGCUCGCUAGCAAUAAAGACUGCUAAUCUUCUAUCCCUUUGGUUAAACUCCAAAGCUCACUCG